CAGUCGCCACGGGAAUACAGAGGGUGCGAGCGUUAAUCGGAUUUACUGGGCGUAAAGCGUGCGUAGGCGGCUUCUUAAGUCGGAUGUGAAAUCCCUGAGCUUAACUUAGGAAUUGCAUUCGAUACUGGUAAGCUAGAGUAUGGGAGAGGAUGGUAGAAUUCCAGGUGUAGCGGUGAAAUGCAUAGAGAUCUGGAGGAAUACCGAUGGCGAAGGCAGCCAUCUGGCCUAAUACUGACGCUGAGGUACGAAAGCAUGGGGAGCAAACAGGAUUAGAUACCCCCGUAGUCCCUGUCUCUUAUAC
rnacentral:rRNA from 1 species